UACAGAGACUGCAAGCGUUAUUCGGAUUCACUGGGCGUAAAGGGUGCGCAGGCGGUUGGGUGUGUCAGAUGUGAAAUCCCGAGGCUCAACCCAGGAACUGCGUCCGAUACUGGUUGGAUUGAAUCCGGGAGAGGGAUGUGGAAUUCCAGGUGUAGCGGUGAAAUGCGUAGAUAUCUGGAGGAACACCCGUGGCGAAGGCGGCACUCUGGGACGGUACUGACGCUGAGACGCGAAAGCGUGGGGAGCGAACAGG
rnacentral:rRNA from 1 species